CCUACGGGAGGCAGCAGUGGGGAAUAUUGCACAAUGGGGGAAACCCUGAUGCAGCGACGCCGCGUGAGUGAAGAAGGAAUUCGGUAUGUAAAGCUCUAUCAGCAGGGAAGAAAAUGACGGUACCUGAGGAAGAAGCCCCGGCUAACUACGUGCCAGCAGCCGCGGUAAUACGUAGGGGGCAAGCGUUAUCCGGAUUUACUGGGUGUAAAGGGUGCGUAGGCGGCAGUGCAAGUCAGGAGUGAAAGGCGGGGGCUCAACCCCCGGACUGCUGUUGAAACUGUACGGCUGGAGUGCAGGAGAGGUAGGUGGAAUUCCCAGUGUAGCGGUGAAAUGCGUAGAUAUGAGGAGGAACACCGGUGGCGAAGGCGGCUUACUGGACUGUAACUGACGUUGAGGCACGAAAGCGUGGGGAGCAAACAGGAUUAGAUACCCGGGUAGUC
rnacentral:rRNA from 1 species